rnacentral:rRNA from 1 species
AAACUGCGAAUGGCUCAUUAAAUCAGUUAUCGUUUAUUUGAUAGUACCUCUACUACAUGGACAACUGUGGUAAUUCUAGAGCUAAUACAUGCUAAAAACCUCGACUUCGGAAGGGGUGUAUUUAUUAGAUAAAAAACCAAUGCCCUUCGGGGCUUCUUGGUGAUUCAUAAUAACUAAACGAAUCGCAUGGCCUUGCGCCGGCGAUGGUUCAUUCAAAUUUCUGCCCUAUCAACUUUCGAUGGUAGGAUAGUGGCCUACCAUGGUUUCAACGGGUAACGGGGAAUUAGGGUUCUAUUCCGGAGAGGGAGCCUGAGAAACGGCUACCACAUCCAAGGAAGGCAGCAGGCGCGCAAAUUAUCCAAUCCCAAUACGGGGAGAUAGUGACAAUAAAUACUGAUACAGGGCUCUUUUGGGUCUUGUAAUUGGAAUGAGUACAAUUUAAAUCCCUUAACGAGGAACAAUUGGAGGGCAAGUCUGGUGGACUUCAGUCUCGCUGCUGACGCCAGAGAUAGCAGGCUCUCCCCGUGGCCGGGGCUAUGCUUGCUAGUGACAUCCCGUGGUGACGGUGGAUGCCGGCGAGUAACUUGGAAGGGGGAAGCUUAGGGGGGUCCAAACCCUUAUGGUAAUCCGUGGCGAGUUCUGGAGACGGGCCGUCGUAACGGGCGCAAAGGUACCGGUCGCUGUAACGCAGCGGCUCAAGGGACGUGCUAUACCCACCCGAAAGGGUGAUCCCGCCUGGAGCACCCGUCGUGCAAAGGGCGUGGAUGGGAGGGCGGUGCCUGCACCCACCCCCGGUGGUUCAGCGAUGAACCUCCAUCUUUUAGGCCAGCAGCCGCGGUAAUUCCAGCUCCAAUAGCGUAUAUUAAAGUUGUUGCAGUUAAAAAGCUCGUAGUUGAACCUUGGAUCUGGCCGAUCGGUCCGCCUCACCGCGUGCACUGGCUCGGCCGGAUCUUUCUUUCUGGGGAGCCCUAUGGCCUUCACUGGUCGUAGCGGGGAACCAGGACUUUUACUUUGAAAAAAUUAGAGUGUUCAAAGCAGGCCUUCGCUCGAAUACAUUAGCAUGGAAUAAUAGAAUAAGACGUGUGGUUUUAUUUUGUUGGUUUCUAAGACCGCCGUAAUGAUUAAUAGGGACAGUCGGGGGCGUCUGUAUUCCGUUGUCAGAGGUGAAAUUCUUGGAUUUACGGAAGACAAACUACUGCGAAAGCAUUCGCCAAGGAUGUUUUCAUUAAUCAGUGAACGAAAGUUAGGGGAUCGAAGACGAUCAGAUACCGUCGUAGUCUUAACCAUAAACUAUGCCGACUAGGGAUCGGACGGUGUUUUUAUUUUGACCCGUUCGGCACCUUACGAGAAAUCAAAGUGUUUGGGCUCUGGGGGGAAUAUGGUCGCAAGGCUGAAACUUAAAGAAAUUGACGGAAGGGCACCACAAGGCGUGGAGCCUGCGGCUUAAUUUGACUCAACACGGGGAAACUCACCAGGUCCAGACAUGCUUAGGAUUGACAGAUUGAGAGCUCUUUCUUGAUUGUAUGGGUGGUGGUGCAUGGCCGUUCUUAGUUGGUGGAGUGAUUUGUCUGCUUAAUUGCGUUAACGAACGAGACCUUAACUUACUAAAUAGCCCGAUUGGCGUUUGCCGAUCGCUGGCUUCUUAGAAGGACUAUCGGCUCAAGCCGAUGGAAGUUUGAGGCAAUAACAGGUCUGUGAUGCCCUUAGAUGUCCUGGGCCGCACGCGCGCUACACUGACAGAGCCAACGAGUACAUCACCUUAGCCGAGAGGUUUGGGUAAUCUUGUUAAACUCUGUCGUGCUGGGGAUAGAGCAUUGCAAUUAUUGCUCUUCAACGAGGAAUGCCUAGUAAGCGCGAGUCAUCAGCUCGUGCUGAUUACGUCCCUGCCCUUUGUACACACCGCCCGUCGCUACUACCGAUUGAAUGGCUCAGUGAGGCCUCCGGACUGGCUCAGGGAGGUCGGCAACGACCACCCAGAGCCGGA